UUUUCCUAGGGGGGCAGCAGUGGGGAAUAUUGCACAAUGGGGGAAACCCUGAUGCAGCAACGCCGCGUGAGUGAAGAAGUCAUUCGUGAUGUAAAGCUCUAUCAGCAGGGAAGAAAAUGACGGUACCUGAGUAAGAAGCCCCGGCUAACUACGUGCCAGCAGCCGCGGUAAUACGUAGGGGGCAAGCGUUAUCCGGAUUUACUGGGUGCAAAGGGAGCGUAGACGGCCAGAAAAGUCUGAAGUGAAAAUCCAGCGCUUAACGUUGGA
rnacentral:rRNA from 1 species